rnacentral:rRNA from 1 species
GCGCAGCAGGCGCGAAAACUUCACAAUGUGCGAAAGCACGAUGAGGGAAUCCCAAGUGCUUGCACGUAAGUGUAAGCUGUUUCUCUGUCUAAAACGCAGAGAGAGUAAGGGCUGGGUAAGACGGGUGCCAGCCGCCGCGGUAAUACCUGCAGCUCGAGUGGUGACCGUUAUUAUUGGGCCUAAAACGUCCGUAGCCGGUUUAAUAAAUGCCUGGGUAAAUCGGACCGCUUAACGGUUCGAAUUCCGGGGUAGACUGUUAAACUUGAGACCGGGAGAAGUUAGAGGUACUCCUGGGGUAGAGGUGAAAUUCUGUAAUCCUAGGGGGACCACCAGUGGCGAAGGCGUCUAACUAGAACGGGUCUGACGGUGAGGGACGAAGCCCCU